GACGAACGCUGGCGGCGUGCUUAACACAUGCAAGUCGAACGGAAAGGCCCUGCUUUUGUGGUGUGCUCGAGUGGCGAACGGGUGAGUAACACGUGAGUAACCUGCCCUUGACUUUGGGAUAACUUCAGGAAACUGGGGCUAAUACCGUAUAGGAGCUCCUGCUGCAUGGUGGGGGUUGGAAAGUUUCGGCGGGUGGGGAUGGACUCGCGGCUUAUCAGCUUGUUGGUGGGGUAGUGGCUUACCAAGGCUUUGACGGGUAGCCGGCCUGAGAGGGUGACAGGCCACAUUGGGACUGAGAUACGGCCCAGACUCCUACGGGAGGCAGGAGUGGGGAAUAUUGCACAAUGGGCGGAAGCCUGAUGCAGCAACGCCCGUGCGGGAUGACGGCCUUCGGGUUGUAAACCGCUUUCGCCUGUGACGAAGCGUGAGUGACGGUAAUGGGUAAAGAAGCACCGGCUAACUACGUG
rnacentral:rRNA from 1 species